rnacentral:rRNA from 1 species
GACAAACGCUGGCGGCGUGCGUAAAACAUGCAAGUCGCACGGGAGCUUCGGCUCCAGUGGCAGACGGCUGAGUAACGCGUAGGGAUCUACCUGCUAGUGGGGAAUAACGGCCCGAAAGGGUCGCUAAUACCGCAUACGACCACCUUUGGUGAGGAAAGCCGUAAGGCGCUGGCAGAGGAACCUGCGUCCGAUUAGCUAGUUGGUGGGGUAACGGCCUACCAAGGCGACGAUCGGUAGCUGGUCUGAGAGGAUGACCAGCCAGACUGGGACUGGGACACGGCCCAGACUCCUACGGGAGGCAGCAGUUAGGAAUUUUGGGCAAUGGCCGCAAGGCUGACCCAGCAACGCCGCGUGGGGGACGAAGGCCUUCGGGUUGUAAACCCCUUUUCCCAGGGACGAUGAUGACGGUACCUGGGGAAUAAGCCCCGGCUAACUACGUGCCAGCCGCCGCAGUAAA